rnacentral:rRNA from 1 species
CCUACGGGUGGCAGCAGUGGGGGAUAUUGCACAAUGGGGGGAACCCUGAUGCAGCGACGCCGCGUGGGUGAAGGAGUAUUUCGGUAUGUAAAGCCCUAUCGGCAGGGAAGAAUUUAGACGGUACCUGACUAAGAAGCCCCGGCUAACUACGUACCAGCCGCCGCGGUAAUACGGAGGGGGCAAGCGUUAUCCGGAUUCACUGGGUGUAACGGGAGCGUAGACGGUCAGGCAAGGCUGGGGUGAAAGCCCGGGGCCCAACCCCGGGACUGCCCGGGGAACUGUUCGGCUGGAGUGCGGGAGGGGUAGGCGGAAUGCCUGGUGUAGCGGUGAAAUGCGUAGAUAUCAGGAGGAACACCGGCGGCGAAGGCGGCCUGCUGGACCGCGACUGACGUUGAGGCUCGAAAGCGUGGGGAGUGAACAGGAUUAGAUACCCUUGUAGUC